rnacentral:rRNA from 1 species
CAGUAGCCACGGUAAUACGAAGGGGGCUAGCGUUGUUCGGAAUUACUGGGCGUAAAGCGCACGUAGGCGGAUAUUUAAGUCAGGGGUGAAAUCUCAGAGCUCAACUCUGGAACUGCCUUUGAUACUGGGUAUCUUGAGUAUGGAAAAGGUGAGUGGAAUUCCGAGUGUAGAGGUGAAAUUCGUAGAUAUUCGGAGGAACACCAGUGGCGAAGGCGGCUCACUGGUCCAUUACUGACGCUGAGGUGCGAAAGCGUGGGGAGCAAACAGGAUUAGAUACCCCAGUAGUCCCUGUCUCUUAUAC